rnacentral:rRNA from 1 species
CCUACGGGAGGCAGCAGUGAGGAAUAUUGGUCAAUGGACGUAAGUCUGAACCAGCCAAGUCGCGUGAGGGAUGAAGGCUCUAUGGGUUGUAAACUUCUUUUAUAUGGGAAUAAAGUGUUGGCCGUGUCCUGUUUUGUAUGUACCUUAUGAAUAAGGAUCGGCUAACUCCGUGCCAGCAGCCGCGGUAAUACGGAGGAUCCGAGCGUUAUCCGGAUUUAUUGGGUUUAAAGGGUGCGUAGGCGGACUUUUAAGUCAGCGGUGAAAGUUUGUGGCUCAACCAUAGAAUGGCCGUGGAAACUGGGAGGCAUGAGUAUGUUAGAGGCAGGCGGAAUGCGUGGUGCAGCGGUGAAAGGCUUAGAUAUCACGCAGAACCCCGAUUGCGAAGGCAGCUUGCCGAGCCAAGACUGACGCUGAUGCACGAAAGCGUGGGGAUCAAACAGGAUUAGAUACCCCAGUAGUC